UGCUAUGGAACCGCUGCAUUUGGUAUUGAUCACAGCCAUGUAGUGCUGUACAUGGCUGUUUUUUUUUGGGCCUUUCAAGUGUUGUACCUUGCUAUUUUUUGUGUCCUUUCAAGUGCGUAACAUGGCUAUUUUUUUGUUGGGAUUAAAAGGUAUGACCUCAUAGCCACGUCUUUAAUACUUUUUUAGUCUAUGAAACUGGUACCUUAUUGGCCCUUUGGUUUAAUUAGCAUUUAAAGGAACUUCAAUGAUCAAUAGUAUCUUGUUUUUCUAUAUAGCCCUCGGACAGUCAUAUUAUUUGAUAUUGUGGCAAUGCUUUGAGAACAAUGAAGAAUUGGUAGUAUUCUGUUUGUAGUCGUAGUAGUUGUAGUAGAUGUGCAUAUGUAUUUGGUCAAACACUUCCAUUUACCGUUCAUGCUUUGAGUAAUGGGAUACACUAGAACGGAGGCAGUAAUGGUGGAUUGUUCUUUUUUCUACAGAUCGACGGUCUAAUGGAGUAUCCCGUAGUUAUACUUCUAGUUAUUGACUAUGAAGAUCAAAGUUAUUGUGGACGUGCUUGGAUGUUUUAAGGUUAUCCGUUUGUUGAGGUUGAACUUUUUAGUAUUUUGUGGUCUGAGUUUGGAUACAUUUUGUUACCGAGCUUGGAUUUUUUUUUAAUUUCCCCCUUGUUGUAGUUGGGGGCGUGUCGUUAUUUUGUGCUCUAAGAAUUCGGAUAAAAGUUGUUAUGACCGUAUUUGGUGGACAUAUCUAUUUAUGAAAAUUUGGAUUUGUUUCUUGGAA